CCUUCUUUUUCCACCGGAGCUUGCUCCACCGGAAAAAGAAGAGUGGCGAACGGGUGAGUAACACGUGGGUAACCUGCCCAUCAGAAGGGGAUAACACUUGGAAACAGGUGCUAAUACCGUAUAACAAUCGAAACCGCAUGGUUUUGAUUUGAAAGGCGCUUUCGGGUGUCGCUGAUGGAUGGACCCGCGGUGCAUUAGCUAGUUGGUGAGGUAACGGCUCACCAAGGCUACGAUGCAUAGCCGACCUGAGAGGGUGAUCGGCCACAUUGGGACUGAGACACGGCCCAAACUCCUACGGGAGGCAGCAGUAGGGAAUCUUCGGCAAUGGACGAAAGUCUGACCGAGCAACGCCGCGUGAGUGAAGAAGGUUUUCGGAUCGUAAAACUCUGUUGUUAGAGAAGAACAAGGAUGAGAGUAACUGUUCAUCCCUUGACGGUAUCUAACCAGAAAGCCACGGCUAACUACGUGCCAGCAGCCGCGGUAAUACGUAGGUGGCAAGCGUUGUCCGGAUUUAUUGGGCGUAAAGCGAGCGCAGGCGGUUUCUUAAGUCUGAUGUGAAAGCCCCCGGCUCAACCGGGGAGGGUCAUUGGAAACUGGGAGACUUGAGUGCAGAAGAGGAGAGUGGAAUUCCAUGUGUAGCGGUGAAAUGCGUAGAUAUAUGGAGGAACACCAGUGGCGAAGGCGGCUCUCUGGUCUGUAACUGACGCUGAGGCUCGAAAGCGUGGGGAGCAAACAGGAUUAGAUACCCUGGUAGUCCACGCCGUAAACGAUGAGUGCUAAGUGUUGGAGGGUUUCCGCCCUUCAGUGCUGCAGCUAACGCAUUAAGCACUCCGCCUGGGGAGUACGACCGCAAGGUUGAAACUCAAAAGGAAUUGACGGGGGCCCGCACAAGCGGUGGAGCAUGUGGUUUAAUUCGAAGCAACGCGAAGAACCUUACCAGGUCUUGACAUCCUUUGACCACUCUAGAGAUAGAGCUUCCCCUUCGGGGGCAAAGUGACAGGUGGUGCAUGGUUGUCGUCAGCUCGUGUCGUGAGAUGUUGGGUUAAGUCCCGCAACGAGCGCAACCCUUAUUGUUAGUUGCCAUCAUUUAGUUGGGCACUCUAGCAAGACUGCCGGUGACAAACCGGAGGAAGGUGGGGAUGACGUCAAAUCAUCAUGCCCCUUAUGACCUGGGCUACACACGUGCUACAAUGGGAAGUACAACGAGUCGCGAAGUCGCGAGGCUAAGCUAAUCUCUUAAAGCUUCUCUCAGUUCGGAUUGUAGGCUGCAACUCGCCUACAUGAAGCCGGAAUCGCUAGUAAUCGCGGAUCAGCACGCCGCGGUGAAUACGUUCCCGGGCCUUGUACACACCGCCCGUCACACCACGAGAGUUUGUAACACCCGAAGUCGGUGAGGUAACCUUUUGGAGCCAGCCGCG
rnacentral:rRNA from 1 species